rnacentral:lncRNA from 1 species
GAAACUCAAGUUUAGAUCACAAGUUACUUCUUCAUAUGACUCAAUAAAUGUUUGAUGCAUCACAUUGCUAUACUCGGUAAGGCUUGACUUGAUACCUCAAAAUUCUCUAAGCACUAGCCACUUCACCCUAGCAAAGCUCAUGGCCCAAGUCACUACUUGACCAAACCUUGCCUAAUAUCUCAUAGCUAAUCACUUCUCUUGAUUUCUUCAUCCAAUCGCUACCACAUUUGAGUCUAGUAAUGUUUUGACAUCAUGAAUGAAAUCCUCUUCAGGUCAUAUCUUCUUUUGACUUCUAUAUCCCAUUUAUUUAUAACAAGCUUCUCAUUUUAUUUAGUGACCAACUAAUAUCCCAAUGUCAUCAUACCC